CCUACGUGGGGCAGCAGUGAGGAAUAUUGGUCAAUGGGCGCGAGCCUGAACCAGCCAAGUAGCGUGAAGGAUGACUGCCCUACGGGUUGUAAACUUCUUUUAUAAAGGAAUAAAGUGAGGCACGUGUGCCUUUUUGUAUGUACUUUAUGAAUAAGGAUCGGCUAACUCCGUGCCAGCAGCCGCGGUAAUACGGAGGAUCCGAGCGUUAUCCGGAUUUAUUGGGUUUAAAGGGAGCGUAGAUGGGUUGUUAAGUCAGUUGUGAAAGUUUGCGGCUCAACCAUGAGAGUGCGGCGCGAACUGGAGACCUUGAGUGCGCGGAAGGCAGGCGGAAUUCGUGGUGUAGCGGUGAAAUGCUUAGAUAUCACGAAGAACCCCGAUUGCGAAGGCAGCUUACUAAACUGUGACUGACAUUGAUGCUCGAAAGUGUGGGUAUCAAACAGGAUUAGAUACCCCGGUAGUC
rnacentral:rRNA from 1 species